AUUGAACGCUGGCGGCAUGCCUUACACAUGCAAGUCGAACGGCAGCACGGGAGCAAUCCUGGUGGCGAGUGGCGAACGGGUGAGUAAAGUAUCGGAACGUGCCCAGUCGUGGGGGAUAACGUAGAGAAAGUUACGCUAAUACCGCAUACGAUCUAUGGAUGAAAGCGAGGGAUCGCAAGACCUCGCGCGAUUGGAGCGGCCGAUAUCAGAUUAGGUAGUUGGUGGGGUAAAGGCUCACCAAGCCGACGAUCUGUAGCUGGUCUGAGAGGACGACCAGCCACACUGGGACUGAGACACGGCCCAGACUCCUACGGGAGGCAGCAGUGGGGAAUUUUGGACAAUGGGCGAAAGCCUGAUCCAGCCAUGCCGCGUGCAGGAUGAAGGCCUUCGGGUUGUAAACUGCUUUUGUACGGAACGAAAAGGUUUGGCCUAAUAAGCUGAGCUCAUGACGGUACCGUAAAAAUAAGCACCGGCUAACUACGUGCCAGCCGCCGCGGUAA
rnacentral:rRNA from 1 species